UUUUUUUUUUACAAUUAACCGCAAUAGGAACAAAACUCCCCUUUCACGGCUUCCGCUUUCGUGCUCCGACUGCUUCUUAUUAUCUUCCUUGAUUCAGCCGCCAUUCCGCUGCCCCUAUAUCUUCCUCCCUCAUCAUCUUUCGGCCGCUAGUCUAGGGACACGAGCUUUCUCUCCUCCAUUGUAGCGUUGGUUUUCAUUCAACUUGGGAUGUAACGGAAAUCUUGCAUUAUACACCACAGAUUUCCCCCUUUUCAACACACUGAACACCAACUAUGAGACGUUCGCUGAUCAGGGAUUCGGUAGCCUGGUGGUGUUCGAUCAGUCUGGUUCUCUGUACCUUGCUGCCUUAACUAAUUUGAUGGAUCAAAUGGAUCAAGAUGAAGGAUUGGAGUAGCAAGUAAUGAUGUCACAAGAAACACAUUUGUGCAUAUUUUAGCUGCCGAUGUUUGGGGAGAUCGAUAGAUACUACGGAGUACAAGAUUAACUUAGAUAAACGUUUUUUUCCGAGAUUGAAAAGUUCGGAGCUCUCAUCUGCAAUUAGUGUUGUUGUUGCUGUCACUGUUAUUGCUAUCUCUGUUAGUGCUGAAUGCUGCUAUCGUUUGCUGCUAUCGCUAUUUGUGUCCUGCUAGCUGCUGCUGUCUACUGUUAAUAAUGUUGUGUGUUGUAAAAGCGCUGAUUGCUAUUUUGUUCUUUUUGUUUUUGAAUUUGGUGGUCUAGAGACAAAGUCGGCUUUUGUUUGGUUUGGAUUAUUUGAUUGUAUAUGGAAUUUUUUUACAAGAAAAUAUGAAAUUAUAUCAAUUCAAAUUAUUGUUUAUCGUAAA